AAUAGUUAAUUUCCUAUCAAUUCUUGUUAAAAACUUUUUUUUCAGAUUAAAAAAACAGUGUCCCUAUGUAAAAUGUUUCGCGGUAAGCGCGCAGACAUCCGUCUC